rnacentral:rRNA from 1 species
UACGUAGGGGGCAAGCGUUGUCCGGAAUCAUUGGGCGUAAAGGGCGCGCAGGCGGCUGCUCAAGUCAGGCGUGAAAGGCCUGGGCUCAACCCGGGAAUUGCGCUUGAGACUGGGCUGGCUUGAGUGCGGGAGAGGAUGGUGGAAUUCCCAGUGUAGAGGUGAAAUUCGUAGAUAUUGGGAAGAACACCGGUGGCGAAGGCGGCCAUCUGGACCGCAACUGACGCUGAGGCGCGAAAGCGUGGGGAGCAAACAGG